rnacentral:miRNA from 1 species
UUGAGGGGUUUAGAGGGAGGGAGGAGAGAGAAAGAGAGAGAGGAGUUAUUGACAGAGACAAGAGGGCUUGGGGAUUUUCAAGGUUUUAGGAAGAGCUUUACCUUACUCUUCUCACUUUCUUUUUCUUUUCUUUUAUUUUUUAUUUUUCU